UACUGAUCGAAGAGGAGGAUUUACCAGGAGCCCUGCUGCGGUUAUGUUGCAUAGUCAAGGAUGGACAGAUUGCCUCUUUAAAGAACAUUGGCAGGAAACACGACACUCGUGCCCUGAUGUCCAAGUCUCAGUCACCCUGGA